rnacentral:rRNA from 1 species
GUGGGGAAUUUUGGACAAUGGGCGCAAGCCUGAUCCAGCAAUGCCGCGUGUGUGAAGAAGGCCUUCGGGUUGUAAAGCACUUUUGUCCGGAAAGAAAUCUCCUGGGUUAAUACCUCGGGGGGAUGACGGUACCGGAAGAAUAAGCACCGGCUAACUACGUGCCAGCAGCCGCGGUAAUACGUAGGGUGCGAGCGUUAAUCGGAAUUACUGGGCGUAAAGCGUGCGGAGGCGGCUAUGCAAGACAGAUGUGAAAUCCCCGGGCUCGACCUGGGAACUGCAUUUGUGACUGCAUGGCUAGAGUGCGUCAGAGGGAGGUGGAAUUCCGCGUGUAGCAGUGAAAUGCGUAGAGAUGCGGAGGAACACCGAUGGCGAAGGCAGCCUCCUGGGAUGACACUGACGCUCAUGCACGAAAGCGUGGGGAGCAAACAGGAUUAGAAACCCCUGUAGUCC